rnacentral:rRNA from 1 species
CACGUAGGGUGCGAGCGUUGUCCGGAAUUAUUGGGCGUAAAGAGCUCGUAGGCGGUGUGUCGCGUCGGCCGUGAAAACCUGCAGCUUAACUGUGGGCGUGCGGUCGAUACGGGCAUCACUGGAGUUCGGCAGGGGAGACUGGAAUUCCUGGUGUAGCGGUGAAAUGCGUAGAUAUCGAGAGGAACACCUGCGGCGAAGGCGGGUAGCUGGGCCGACACUGACGCUGAGGCGCGAAGGCGUGGGGAGCGAACGGG